rnacentral:rRNA from 1 species
UCCUACGGGAGGCAGCAGUGGGGAAUAUUGCACAAUGGGCGCAAGCCUGAUGCAGCGACGCCGCGUGGGGGAUGACGGCCUUCGGGUUGUAAACUCCUUUCGCUAGGGACGAAGCUUUUUGUGACGGUACCUAGAUAAGAAGCACCGGCUAACUACGUGCCAGCAGCCGCGGUAAUACGUAGGGUGCGAGCGUUGUCCGGAAUUACUGGGCGUAAAGGGCUCGUAGGUGGUUUGUCGCGUCGUCUGUGAAAUUCCGGGGCUUAACUCCGGGCGUGCAGGCGAUACGGGCAUAACUUGAGUACUGUAGGGGUAACUGGAAUUCCUGGUGUAGCGGUGAAAUGCGCAGAUAUCAGGAGGAACACCGAUGGCGAAGGCAGGUCUCUGGGCAUUAACUGACGCUGAGGAGCGAAAGCAUGGGGAGCGAACAGGAUUAGAUACCCUGGUAGUCCAUGCCGUAAACGUUGGGCACUAGGUGUGGGGGACAUUCCACGUUUUCCGCGCCGUAGCUAACGCAUUAAGUGCCCCGCCUGGGGAGUACGGCCGCAAGGCUAAAACUCAAAGGAAUUGACGGGGGCCCGCACAAGCGGCGGAGCAUGCGGAUUAAUUCGAUGCAACGCGAAGAACCUUACCAAGGCUUGACAUGGACCGGACCGGGCUGGAAACAGUCCUUCCCCUUUGGGGCCGGUUCACAGGUGGUGCAUGGUUGUCGUCAGCUCGUGUCGUGAGAUGUUGGGUUAAGUCCCGCAACGAGCGCAACCCUCGUUCCAUGUUGCCAGCGCGUAAUGGCGGGGACUCAUGGGAGACUGCCGGGGUCAACUCGGAGGAAGGUGGGGACGACGUCAAAUCAUCAUGCUCCUUAUGUCUUGGGCUUCACGCAUGCUACAAUGGCCGGUACAAAGGGUUGCGAUACUGUGAGGUGGAGCUAAUCCCAAAAAGCCGGUCUCAGUUCGGAUUGGGGUCUGCAACUCGACCCCAUGAAGUCGGAGUCGCUAGUAAUCGCAGAUCAGCAACGCUGCGG